AUUGAACGCUGGCGGCAUGCUUUACACAUGCAAGUCGGACGAGUGGCGAACGGGUGAGUAACGCAUCGGAACGUAACGAGUAAUGGGGGAUAACUGUCCGAAAGGACAGCUAAUACCGCAUAUUAUUCGAGCGGACGAUGUCUGAUUAGCUGGUUGGCGGGGUAAAGGCCCACCAAGGCGACGAUCAGUAGCGGGUCUGAGAGGAUGAUCCUCCAAAGUGGGACUGACACACGGCCCAGACUCCUACGGGUGGCAGGAGUGGGGAAGUUGGGAAAAUGGGCGCAAGCGUUAUACAGCCAUGCCGCGUGUCUGAAGGAGGCCUUCGGCUUGUAAAGGGCUGUUGUCAGGGAAGCGGUACCUGAAGAAUUAGCACCGGCUAACUCCGUGCCAGCAGCCGCGGUAAUUC
rnacentral:rRNA from 1 species